CAGCCGCCGCGGGAAAACGAAGGGUGCAAGCGUUACUCGGAAUUACUGGGCGUAAAGCGUGCGUAGGUGGUGGUUUAAGUCCGUUGUGAAAGCCCUGGGCUCAACCUGGGAGUUGCAGUGGAUACUGGGUCACUAGAGUGUGGUAGAGGAUAGUGGAAUUUCCGGUGUAGCAGUGAAAUGCGUAGAGAUCGGAAGGAACAUCUGUGGCGAAGGCGACUAUCUGGGCCAACACUGACACUGAGGCACGAAAGCGUGGGGAGCAAACAGGAUUAGAUACCCCUGUAGUCCCUGUCUCUUAUAC
rnacentral:rRNA from 1 species